rnacentral:rRNA from 1 species
UGAACCACAACAACCUCUACAUCGCGAGCGCCUUGAAGACCGCGAAGAACGGGAACUCCCUCGCCUCCGCCGGCUCGAAGAACAACGCGAGCGCGAGCACCUCGACCGCCUUCACCGCCCGCUCCAGCCCCGCCCACCCCUUCGCCGCCGGCGUCUGCCGCGUCCUCAUCCCCUGCCCGCCCCGCCGCCGCGGGCACGCGAGCCGCGCCAGCUCCCGCGCCGCGAGCGCCGCCAGCCGCCUCUGGGUCCGCCCCUCCACCCACUUCCGCACCGCCAACCGCUUCCGCCUCUGCCUCAGCUGCGCCGGCUCCUCCCUGCGGCGGAGCGCCUCCCUCCACCGGCGGAGCUUCCCGCCGGGCGCGCCCCCGAACAACAGCUCCAGGGUGUCGUGGUGGUGGCAGCCCGAGGCGCGGCAGGUGUGCGGCAGGGGCGGCGCCUUGUAGAGCUGCAGGCGGCGCCACCCGCGGCGGCUCAUGCCCAAGAGCCGGCGACGGCGAGCCUCACCCCCUAGCCGCGCCUCCCUCUACGCCACCCCCCGCGCCACCAACUUCCCCCUCCCUA